GCGCCUCUAGCUCAAUGGCAGAGCAACGGACUCUUAAUCCGCAGGUUCUCGGUUCGAAUCCGAGGGGGCGCACCA
rnacentral:tRNA from 1 species